rnacentral:rRNA from 1 species
AUACGGAGGGGGUUAGCGUUGUUCGGAAUUACUGGGCGUAAAGCGUGCGUAGGCGGACUAUUAAGUCAGAGGUGAAAUCCCGGGGCUCAACCCCGGAACUGCCUUUGAUACUGGUAGUCUUGAGGUCGAGAGAGGUGAGUGGAAUUCCUAGUGUAGAGGUGAAAUUCGUAGAUAUUAGGAGGAACACCAGUGGCGAAGGCGGCUCACUGGCUCGAUUCUGACGCUGAGGUACGAAAGUGUGGGGAGCAAACAGGAGUAGAAACCCUAGUAGUCC